rnacentral:rRNA from 1 species
AUUGAACGCUGGCGGCAGGCCUAACACAUGCAAGUCGAGCGAGCGGCGGACGGGUGAGUAAUGUCUGGGAAACUGCCUGAUGGAGGGGGGUAACUACUGGAAACGGUAGCUAAUACAGCAUACCAUCAGAUGUGCCCCGGUGGGAUUUGCUAGUGGGUGGGGUAACGCCACACCUAGGCGACGAUCCCUAGCUGGCCUGAGAGGGUGACCAGCCACACUGGAACUGAGACACGGUCCAGACUCCGACGGGGGGCAGCAGUGGGGAAUAUUGCACAAUGGGCGAGAGCCUGAUACAGCCAUGCCGCGUGUGUGAAGAAGGCCUUCGGGUUGUAAAGCACUUUCAGCGGGGAGGCGUUACCCGCAGAAGAAGCACCGGCUAACUACGUGCCAGCCGCCGCGGUAAUUC